AUGGCUCAGUGGUUAAGAGCAUCUGCUGCUCUGCCAGAGGACCUGGGUUCAAUUCCUAGU
rnacentral:tRNA from 1 species